UAUUAAAGUGACAGACCCCAAAAUGUGAGGAAUUUAAGCUUCCUUUAUGAAUAUUUCCUUUAAUAA
rnacentral:tRNA from 1 species